rnacentral:rRNA from 1 species
UACGGAGGGGGCGAGCGUUACUCGGAAUUACUGGGCGUAAAGCGUGCGUAGGCGGCUAUCUAAGUCGGGUGUGAAAGCCCCGGGCUCAACCUGGGAAUUGCAUUCGAGACUGAAUAGCUAGGGUACGGUAGAGGGAAGCGGAAUUUCCGGUGUAGCGGUGAAAUGCGUAGAUAUCGGAAGGAACAUCAGUGGCGAAGGCGGCUCCCUGGACCAGUACCGACGUUCAGGCACGAAAGCGUGGGGAGCAAACAGG